rnacentral:misc_RNA from 1 species
AAAAUGCGAUACUUGGUGUGAAUUGCAGAAUCCCGUGAACCAUCGAGUUUUUGAACGCAAGUUGCGCCCGAAGCCAUCCGGCUGAGGGCACGCCUGCCUGGGCGUCACGCAUCGCGUCGCUCCCCACCAUACCUCCCCAACGGGUUGGCAUGGUGUUGGGGGCGGAUAAUGGCCUCCCGUGCUUGUGUUUCGGUUGGCCUAAAUAAGAGUUCCCUUCGGCGGACACACGACUAGUGGUGGUUGAAUAGACCCUCGUCUUUUGUUGCGUGUCGUGAGCUGUAAGGAUAGCCCUCAUCAAAGACCCCAUUGUAUCGUCUUCGGAUGAUGCUUCGACCGCGACCCCAGGUCAGGCGGGACUACCCGCUGAGUUUAAGC